UAUGGCAAUGAUGAUGAAAGAUAAGGCUUGUUUCUCAACAUUCGCAGUAGCCGCCUAAGAGCUUUCGCCACGCCAGGCUCGAGAGCUUGUGCUGUUGAAUCCUUCCUUGGAUGUCUGAGCCAUAU
rnacentral:snoRNA from 1 species